UUUAUUAAAGAAAUAAUUUGUGUUUGUAAUGUUUUUUUGAAAAUGCAUAUUUCUUUUCCAUGGAAUUUUGUUUACAGGGUAUACACCAUGGAGAGUAUCAAUUAUUUGUUAUCUUUAAAACAUUAGAAAGUAUUGAACAAUGGUUGAGUCUUGCAUGAUAUCAUUCAUCACUAGUCAAUUUAAGAAAUUGUAUUUCCUUCCCAUGAAGUUCUAUGCUUUAAAGCACAUUUAUUAGAAAGGUUGAUUUAAGGUUGAUUUACAAUAAAUUUAAAGUUUUCAAAAUUCAUGAUUUUUGGCAAGAUGAGACAAUGAUUCCCUUGUUAGAAAUAAUCAUUGGCAAGAUGAGACAAUGAUUCCCUUGUUAAAAAUAAUCAUAUGUCUUUUUUCAUUUAAAUUAAACACGUACCAGCAAAUUAACCUUAAAUUUGUCAAUUAAUCUUUUUACAGCUUUUUUUAUGAAAAAAAUCAAUCAAUUUGCAUUCUGACAUUAGAUAUAAGUUAUUUGACAGAUGCAAC
rnacentral:lncRNA from 1 species